rnacentral:rRNA from 1 species
UACGUAGGGCGCAAGCGUUAUCCGGAAUUAUUGGGCGUAAAGAGCUCGUAGGCGGUUUGUCGCGUCGGCUGUGAAAGCCCGGAGCUCAACUCCGGGUCUGCAGUCGAUACGGGCAGACUUGAGUGUUGCAGGGGAGACUGGAAUUCCUGGUGUAGCGGUGAAAUGCGCAGAUAUCAGGAGGAACACCGGUGGCGAAGGCGGGUCUCUGGGCAACAACUGACGCUGAGGAGCGAAAGCGCGGGGAGCGAACAGG